GUCGCUCGCACACCCAUCUCCAUGCCUCCUCCUUUCCCAUUUCACACCUCCCCUCAUCUCUCCCUCGUCAACACAGCCGCGACUCCGUCCUCCCUUCCUCUUCACCAUGGAAAACCACCUCCCAGGCGUCGCCAGCAGGAGAGGAGCCGGCUCCGCUCUCCUACGCACCCACACAAACAUCAUUGCCUUGGGUGAGGAGUUCGUGGGAGGAGAAGUCGAGAAGGCCGGGGGUGGGAGGAGGAGGAGGAGGUGGAGUUAGUUCAGCAGAUCAGCAGCGGCGGUGCCGGGAGAGGAAGGGCCAUGGCGGCGGCGGCUUUCGGACUACGCGUUGAGCAGUGUCUCUCCAUGCCGCCGGGACGGCAAGCCCAUGGAGAAGCGCGGUCACCCCGGUACAUGGCCGUCUUCCAUCUCCAUCUGCUGCUCCCCACUCCUGCCGUCCCAUGGCCUGCGUCGCCGCUGGUUGGCUGUUCCCACCUGCUGAUACUACUCGGAUCCCUUGGCUAUUCAGUUCCUGUCUCCACAUCUUUGCAAAGUUUCCUGAAUGGACUCAAGAGUUAGGACUGUUGAGUUAGUAAUCAAUCUCAUGGCAUCUUUCCAUCGAGAGAUCCGUGAAUAAAAGCGGCCUUUCUGGGAUUGUCAAGGUAUUCACUAAUAGAGAGUUGCAUCCAAAAAUAAAGUAGCUAAAGCUUUUUCAAAAAUCAGGGGCCUCCCCCCGGCUCCAUUUUUUAAUGAAGAAAGAGAAGCCAUACGAGUACCACAACAACGAAAGCUAAAACAGACUCUGAACCUAAACUGGGGGUAAAACAGUUCGCUGCACGCCUUAUUACAGACCAAAAAACCAGAAUCUCAGUGGCUAAAGCUUUGGUUCGCUAAAAAAAUUACAUGGUUGAUUAACAGCAGCUUACCUUAACAGGCGGUGUUCAAACCUGGUGGUAAAGACCUACAAAAAGUUUGAGGUGGAAAUUUACGUCCUUGCCAAGGAUGAAGGUGGUCGCCACACUGCCUUCUUCUCAAAUUACAACCCAUAGUUCUACUUCAGGACAGCUGACAUAUGUGGGAAAAUUGAGUUUCCUCCGGACGUGAAGAUUGUUAUGCCUGGUGACAACAUAACUGCAAUCUUUGAGUUGAUGUUGCCUGUUCCACUCGAACCAGGGCUAAGAUUUGCGCUGAGGGAAGGAGGGAGGACCGUCGGCUCCGGAGUCAUUGCCGAAGUCAUGAUCUAAUAACAAAUGUUCCAGACCUUUCUCUUUUUACUUCUCAGUUAGUUCUAUGAUUUUUUUUCUAAGGAUUACAAUGCUGCGAAUCAAAUGUCCAUCGUAGGAAAAACAAAUUAAGGUUCUAAAUCCUACAAUUUUUUAAAAUAAAAUUUCUACGAAUCAAAGGAGCCGGUAGAGUAGAAGCAUGCAACACACUAGCUACUUUUGCGUUUGAAGUAUGAGUACGGACAGAAGCAUCCCUCCGACUUAUUAGUGCAUCUCCAACGCCUUGCCGUAAAACGUCCAGGCCGACUUGUUCGGACGCACUUUGCCAUCCAACGCGGACCGUAUUUCGUCCGUUUUCCCCAAACUGGAAGCAAACCUGGGAGACUGUGUGGGAGUCUAGAUCCCAUUGAAUCAAUAUUUAAGUAGCAGUAAGUAAUGACUACAAACACUCCAUGCAUCUACAGAUCGCUUGCGUCUCUCGCUGUGAAUCUAAUCUUCAGAUUUCUGUUGUCCACCACAAAAUAACUUGAUUAAAGAUACUAUGGGAUCUUGGAGACCUCAGAUGUAGGUGAGGAUGAGAUGCCAGAUAUGAAAUUAUGAAGGAUGAGACAUGUCUGAUGAAGAAGGCUCGGCUAGGUAUAUUAGAACAAUCCAUGUUUUAUUCUUGGCACUAUACAAGUGCAUCUCCUCUUUUACUGUAAUAGCAUGAUGCGCUAAUUUUCUUAUGAGUCUGAUAAAUAUGUAUAAUAUAUGAUUAUUGAAGCCCACAUAUAUUUUUAAGCAAUGCAGUAUGUGGUAUUGUUUUUCAUUUCUGUUAGACAAUAGUAAAAAGAAAAUCUGGUCCAAAAGUAUGUGGUAUACAGUUUUAAAAAAUGGUCUGGUGGUCAGGAGUCAUGUAUGAUAUAGUUAUCAUUUCGAUGCUUAAAGCUGGUCAUUUUGUAGGAAUAUGCCAGGGUUUUUGUCAAAUGCAAGCUGCACUUUAUAUUUUUUCAAAUGGAUUUUCUUAUCAAAUAAUUGUCUCUUACGUGGAUAUACUUUGUGUUAAACCCAAGAAAUAAAAGGAUGAUAAGAGGUACAGGCAGGGGUGCCCAUUUGAAUCUCAAGCGUGUAGAGAAAGCAGGGGUACUUGUUCAAAAGAUUCCAACUAUGAUUGACAACUUGAUAGACAAGACAUUUGCCUGGGAGGAUGAAAGCAAUACACCAUUUCUUUAUGACGUGGUUCACAUGGUUGCCAUUUUGGAAGAGCAAAAACUCAGGAGAGUACAGAAAGAGGAAGAUAAGCGACGAUACCGGAUAUAAAUUCCACAUCCUCUGGCACUACACUCACAACAGAAGUCAUCAGUCUUGUUCACUGACUCUUAACAGAGGACCAGAAGAACAUGUACAAUCUAUUGCGUAAAGAGAAUGAGAUGAUAUUUGGGUCCAAGUCUGUUCCGAGGAAGAUAAGCAGUUUUAACAGGAGGACACCCAAAUGGGAGCGAGGCUGGUUUCAUGACUCCGAUGCCCACACCCGAGCUUUUGACACCACGCUCGUACUCUGGACGGUACAACAAUUACUUCAAGGAGAACCGGCGGAUGACGGCAGCACCACUCAACUUCUCGGCGGCUUCCAAGGAUGACAUGUUAUCCUUUGCCUCCAUGAGCGGCUCGGAGCCUGAUUCUCCAUUAGUUUUGCACUGAGCAUAAGACAACGGUGGGGUGGCAGGCCGCACCUGUGCCCAUGUUGUCACUGACAAUCCACUUGGUCGUCGCCGACUGGGGUUGCCGUGCGGGAACUACGUGUUGACCACGGCGUGCCCGUAUGAUGCUCUACUUUUGAAACCUGCUAUCAGUUCCUUUUGAUUUACUAUUGUCUUUUGUUAUCACUGAUCUUAGUGUCCAUACUGUCACUGUUAGUAUCUAUGUUGUCACUGUUUAUGCUGCUCCAGUCAGGAACUUGCACCUGUGACUAUUUUCAUAUUACUAUCUUGUUGCUCUCAUGCAAAUACGAUGUGCAACACUAACAAAGCUUGUAUCCAGAAGACUAACCCAAAGAAUAAAAAAGACAGUGGAAGGGGUGCAUCCCACCUGGUACCGCCCCAACUUCCUCUCAGGCGGCGCACCAAGGGUGCGCCCCAGUCACUAGUUAAUAGUAUGGAUAGCACCAACAGUAUAGCAAUUAUCAUCA